CAUAGAUCUUCUCUCUGACAGGCCCGGCUGAAACGGAGGAGGCAGAGCCGCCGGCCAGAUCAGUUGCCGGGCCACAGUCUGAUAAGGGUUUCUCCCCUGUCGCAGGGAGAUUGCGCAAUAAGCACGAGGUGGUGCCAGAUACAACCUCCCAGGCUUUCCCACUUAGACAGGGAACCGGUGGCCAGACCCAAUACUGGCCGUUUUCAGCAGCUGACAUUUACAAUUGGAAACAAAACAACCCUUCUUUCUCCAAAGAUCCGGUGGCACUCACCGACCUAAUAGAAUCUGUUUUACUUACCCACCAGCCUACUUGGGAUGACUGCCAACAGGUCUUACAGGCCCUCUUAACCUCAGAAAAAAAACAAAGAGUGUUCCUAGAGGCCAGAAAGCAUGUUCUGGGAGAUGAUGGGCGUCCCACCCAGCUGCCUGAGAAAAUUGAUGCUGCAUUCCCACUUAAGAGACCAAACUGGGAUUUUAAUACAGCUGAAGGUAAGGGACACCUACGCCUUUAUCGCCAGUUGCUUCUAGCGGGUCUCCGAGGGGCUAUACGACGCCCUACUAAUUUGGCUCAGGUAAACAGGAAGCAGGGGAAACUCCCUCUGCCUUUCUAGAGAGACUUAAGGAGGCCUACCGUAUGUACACUCCCUAUGACCCAGAUGACCCAGGACAAAUGACGAGUGUCUCUAUGUCCUUCAUCUGGCAGGCUGCUCCAGAUAUCAGGACUAAGUUACAGAGGUUAGAAAAUUUACAGGGCUAUACAUUACAGGAUUUACUUAAAGAAGCUGAAAAGAUUUUUAAUAAGAGAAAGAAUUGAGUCGAAUCUUGGCCGCCGUAGUUCAGGGCCAAGAAAGGAAGGGAGAUAGGGGGGGAGCUCGAAAGGGGCUGAAGCUGGAUAAAGAUCAAUGUGCCUAUUACAAAGAGAAAGGGCACUGGGCCAAAGAGUGCCCCAAGAAGCCUGGCGGACCCCGAAAGCCUCGACCACGAACCUCCCUCUUGGCUCUAGAUAAAGAUUAGGGAGGUCAGGGCCAGGAGCCCCCCCCCCCCUGAGCCCAGGGUAACGCUUAAAGUUGGGGGGCAGCCGGUUACUUUCCUGGUAGACACAGGAGCCCAGCAUUCAGUCCUCACCCAAGCUUCAGGACAACUCAGCGACCGGACGGCCUGGGUACAAAGAGCUACUGGUGAGAAACAAUACCGAUGGACUACGGGCCGCCGGGUUCAGCUGGCUACUGGUAAGGUGACCCAUUCCUUCUUACAUGUUCCGGACUGCCCGUACCCUCUGCUGGGCCGUGACCUGCUCACCAAACUAAAAGCACAAAUUCAUUUUGAGGAAGGAGGGGCCCAAAUAACUGGCCCCCACGGAACUCCCCUUCAAGUUCUAACCCUAUGAACCAGGACAGGACACUGGCUUGGACAGAGACUGGUGGGAUGGGGUUGGCGCUCCAACAGCCCCCCUUAAUUACAACUCCAGUCUCCAUAAAACAAUACCCCCUGUCACAUGAAGCUUAUCAAGGUAUAAGGCCUCACAUUACGAGGCUUCUGGAUCAAGGCAUCCUAGUCCCCUGCUGGUCGCCUUGGAAUACGCCUCUUCUGCCUGUUAAGAAACCCGACACUAGAGAUUAUAGGCCAGUACAAGACUUGAGAGAGGUCAACAAGAGGAUAGAAGAUAUUCAUCCGACUGUUCCAAACCCUUACAAUUUGCUCAGUAACUGUUCAUCGAUGAGAAACAGGGGUAUGCUAAAGGGUCCUAACACAAAGGUUGGGACCCUAGAAACGCCCUGUGGCCUACCUGUCUAAGAAAUUGGACCCUGUGGCCUCCGGCUGGCCACCGUGCCUAAGGAUGGUGGCUGCUAUUGCUGUCCUGAUCAAGGAUGCUAGAAAAUUGACUUUGGGACAGCCACUCACCAUCCUAGCACCCCACACAGUGGAGGCCUUGGUAAAGCAGCCCCCAGACCGCUGGCUCUCUAAUUCUCACACCAAGCCUUGUUACUGGAUGCAGAACAGGUUCAGUUUGGGCCCGUAGUCACCCUCAAUCCUGCCACCUUGCUUCCUCUACCAGAGGAGGCAGAACAGCAUGACUGCCUACAAAUCCUCGCAGAAGUACAUGGAACCAGGCCGGACCUAUCGGACCAGCCUCUUCAGAAUGCUGACCACACAUGGUACACGGAUGACAACAGCUUCUUGGCAGAGGGAGAGCGAAAGGCUAGAGCUGCGGUCACUACGGAGGACAAAGUGAUUUGGGCGAAAGCCCUGCCUGCUGGUACCUCCGCACAACGGGCUGAACUCAUCGCCUUGACUCAGGCGCUCAAGAUGACAAAAGCCCUUCUCUGAGGGCCCAUUUACAGGCCCUACAGAUUGUGCAGAGAGACGUCUAGAGACCUUUGGCCGCUGCUUACCAGGACAAGCUUGAACAUCCGGUGGUGCUACACCCGUUCCAGAUUGGAGAUACCGUGUGGGUGCGCAGACACCAGACCAAGAAUCUCGAGCCACGGUGGAAAGGACCCUACACCGUCCUCCUGACUACCCCGACCGCCCUAAAGGUAGACGGAGUCGCGGCUUAGAUCCACGCAUCACACGUCAAGACAGUCCGGUCUGAGGAAUUGCAACACUACACCCCAGACAUGGAGAGUUCAGCGCACUCCAAACCCCUUAAAGUUAAAACUCCUAUGUGGCUCCUCCUAGUCCUUUUGUGGCCUAGAGUCAGUGGGGGAAUAAGCCCCCACCAGACAGAAAUUUCUUGACCAAGUCGAGUGAAAGAUUUCACUCAAAGUUAGCAAAAAAUGGGGGAAUGAAAGACCCCAGCUUAGCAGCAGUAACGCCAUUUUGCAAGGCUGUACUUAAGAUGACUGGUUCAGGGAAAGGUUAGAACACUGAGUACACAGCGGCUGCCAAGCAAGAUAUGUUUGGUUGAAGGCCUGGCAACAGGACGACUUCGGUUGAGCACCUGACAAUGAAAAAAAAGCCCCGGGAGAGGUCCCACACCCUGGUGGGGGGCCGAGUCAGUCGUUAUGUUCCAAGAAGGUAGCUAAGAAACUUGCCCCCGGGCUGAACCCUUGGGGGCCGAGUCAGUCCUUAUGUUUCAGGAAGGUAGCUAGGAAACUUGCCCCCGGGCUAAACCCUUGCCAUAUUAGAAUCCACCAAUUAUAUCCCUGUAACCAUGCAUCUGCUUCUGUAUGCUUGCUUCUGCUCCCCAAAAUCCUAUAAAAGCCCAUCCUUGGUUCCGUGGGGCGCGCCAGUCCCCCGAGUGACUGAAGCGCCCGCAGGUGCCUGUGCCUGUGUAUCCCGACAAUAAACCAAAUCCUCUUGCUGAUUG